AGUGAACGCUGGCGGUAGGCCUAACACAUGCAAGUCGAACGGCAGCACAGUAAGAGCUUGCUCUUACGGGUGGCGAGUGGCGGACGGGUGAGGAAUACAUCGGAAUCUACUUUUUCGUGGGGGAUAACGCAGGGAAACUUACGCUAAUACCGCAUACGACCUACGGGUGAAAGCAGGGGAUCUUCGGACCUUGCGCGAUUGAAUGAGCCGAUGUCGGAUUAGCUAGUUGGCGGGGUAAAGGCCCACCAAGGCGACGAUCCGUAGCUGGUCUGAGAGGAUGAUCAGCCACACUGGAACUGAGACACGGUCCAGAGUCCUACGGGAGGCAGCAGUGGGGAAUAUUGGACAAUGGGCGCAAGCCUGAUCCAGCCAUACCGCGUGGGUGAAGAAGGCCUUCGGGUUGUAAAGCCCUUUUGUUGGGAAAGAAAAGCAGCAGGUUAAUACCCCGCUGUUCUGACGGUACCCAAAGAAUAAGCACCGGCUAACUUCGUG
rnacentral:rRNA from 1 species